AAAGAAAAUGAUAGCUUUUUAAAAACCACCUUUUCCUUGAAAAAAUGUAUUUAGGUGGUGUUGUGAAAAUAUUGAGCAUUCAAAAACUGUCUUCAACAGAAGAAACUUCAAGUCGUAACGUAUCAUCAUCACCACCAUUAAUUACAAAAUGAAAGUCACAGUUGUUCUAGCCAUCUUCGCUGUUGUUUUUAUGACUGGGACGCAUGCGCAAUGCCAGAAUGCGCUAGGGGACUUUGUAAUGGAAGGGGCACAGGUCCGUGCUUUUGCCGGUUUAUGCAACACCUGCUCAGGCGGUAUGAUGAAACUCGGUGGAUGUAGAAAACGAUCUAUCUUCCGAAGAAAUUUUAAUAAUAACAAUAUGUGGUAAUCUUGUCUUGCAAUGUAAAAAAUAUAAUGGUAUAGAUAACAAUAAUUGAACAUGUUGAUAAAAUA